UCAGGUUGCUGCCACGCAGCUACAAGCAGAGCACAAUUAGUGAGAUGCAGGGCUGCCUUCCUUGGAACUGAGCUGGUGGCUGCGGCUGGGUGCCAGGACCUGGGAGUGUGGUUUCUGGAUGAAAAAGAGAAAAAAAAAAAAAAAGAUGGUGCCUUCCUACAUUCCCCCUCAUAGAUACCAUCUGGAUUGCAGACAACUCACCCAAAUAGAAUAUGAAGCUUGGCAGGAAAAAAAAGCCCCUUGUGUGUCUUUCCAAAUUGAUAUUUCAAUAUCUCUGUUUUGCACCAACUGAAACAAGCCCAAAUUCUCUGGGAGAGAGUGUGUGCUAACAUGGCCUCUAUUUUAUUAAGAACAAACAAACAACAACAACAACGAAAAAGCAUGGCAGUCAUUUAGCUGUAAUGGCCAAGAUAUAAAAUGUCAGUUUUAUUUAUGGCAAGUAGCUGGGUAGAAAAUAUGUCCUGGCAUCGCUUGAGAUUUCAAGAACUUUGUUUUCCUUUUUCUCUCGCUGCAUGAAAUAAUGCUGUAUUCUUAACAAACAAACAAAGAAAAACAAAGAAGACGACAGCCCUCUCCAGCAAGAAAGACCAUGCUCUUCUCUCCACAGAACCAGAGUGAGUGGACCUGUGAGAGACAGAGGGACGUGAAAGUCAAAUCAGGUGCAACAGGAACUCAAACCCAUGCUUUCUGCCUCCAUGUUCACAUGAUAAUCACUGGGGAAUCAGCACGCUGGAGUUACAGUUUUCUGCUCUGUUUCUGACCAAAAGUUCCAUGCUGAAACAACGAGACUUCACACUGAGACCAAUGAACAACAACGUCAGGCUUUGCGCUACCGGUAUCAGAGCCUAACACGGCUGUGGCUGCUGACUUGUGCUUGGAUGAGCCUACACAAAUGCCAUUAAGUCAUUAAAACGCCGCUUGAACCAGCUUCCUACACAGCUCUAAUUAAACUUAACCAAUCUAAUCGAUGAUCCUGAGGUUUACUUUUGUAUAUGAUAUCUCACUUUCACCCAGGAACCCUCCCUAAGGGACCACCAUGCCACUGAAUGCAGAGCAAGAAAGCUAUCCUGGCACGCUCCUCUUAUCUGGAUGUGAAAAGUGACAUCAGCCUGAGCUCUGCCUCUCUUAACUCUGGCAAAUUAGACAAGCCAGAAUGCUGCAAGUCAGAGAUGUGCUUCGAGGUGGUCACAGCCCCUUGUCUCUGGGAACAGCAAACAAAACUGUGGGCAGCACAGAAUGUCUGCUGGGAUAAGGUCAAACCUUGACAGGGGGAAACUGCUUUGGUGUCUUCUUUGGCAGCCAGCUGGAUCUAUCUGAAAACACUUCCUGGACCAUUAGGAAUUGUUAGACGAAAUAUCCCAGGAUGGACACAACCUGCUGUAAGAAAAAAGAAAAUUGGACAAAAGGCUGUCUCUUGCAACAGCAGCUGCCAGUUUGGGCUUGCUGCUUCAUGCUGAUUAUCUCCUGGACUGGAUCUGCCUGCCACAUUGUGCUCGUGAUGGGCUCAAGCCUCAGACCAGGAACUGCUGAUCUCCAUAGAGUGUCACCUGGGAGGUGACGAGCACAGACAAAGGCACCUCUUUAAUUUUUAUAGCGCUGCUAAGCCCUCUCUUUUGUAGGGUUGGAUUUAGCACAGAGGCUAUGGCUGCCUGAUGACGUGUGAAUGGGAUGUCAGAGUGGAACUGACCUUAGAGCUGAUGACAAGUUGUACUGGCAAAAGCUGGUGUAACUGAGGGCUGAAGCCUUGUAGCAGAAAAACCAAGGCAGGCUUGGCUCAGGGUGCAGGAAGCAGGCACAAAUAUGCAGUAUGGCAUCUACUGAUUGAGACAGCAAACACCAUGACAGACUGGUGAUUAGGGCAUGGAUGGCUCAGGGAGAGCAUUGUCUUAGGAGAAGUAGCAAAAGCAAACUAGGUAUGGGACUGUGAAAACCAAGCUGAGCUGCCACAUGGGCUGUCAUACUGCACUCCUAUUUUAAGAUACAUUUACAGCAAGAAUUACACUUUUUGCCCUCCUCCCCUUUUUCUUAUGGAAGUACUUGUUUUCCUUUACCUGGGAGUAGAGGAACCUGUCCAUAAAUCUUUAUGGCUCUCCUGCUGUUUUAUAUCAUUGUGUAACUGCAGUACUCUGAUUUGUCCCUGCCUUCCCUGAGGAAAAUUCCGCAUGUUCAGAUUUCUCUUCAAAAUGACCCAAGCACUUUUGGGAAGCGAGGAUGAUGAUGCUUCUUGUAUUAUUCCUGUAUUCCAGGCAAGGAUUUUCAUGUCGUCUAGAGAAUUCAUUUGUGCAGUUAGACAUACAUGUGCGCAGGUCCACACAGCCUUUUGCAAGCAGGCAGGACAUUCUUUGCCCACACUGCAGUCUGGUCCACCAGCCAUGGAAAUGCAAUCACAAGGUGCUGAGUGACAACUAAUAUACCCUACUUCUCAAAAGUGCUUAUUAGCCAGGCUCAGCAAUGCACUAAAAUGACUGCACUAUUUGCCACAUGGAGCUGUCUUGUCUGGGGUCAAUUCAGAACACAAUAUUUCAUGAGGACAGGCCUGACAUUUCAUCCCAUAGCGUACUGACUUCUUUUAAUGAGGUUUAUCAGAUUCAGAUAGAAAAAACAGAAUCACAGGAACAGAAAAAUCCCCACAGACCACCAGCCUGGAGAUCAUAGCUGAAGAACGUUAGUGUGAGGACUAGCAAGACCCCGAAAUGAAGUGAACGAGACUGAUGUUGACAGUUUAUUACAGUUCUUGGCUGGAUUAGUGAACACAUAUAUGCUUUUUUUUAUUUCUUUUUCUUUUUUUUCCUUUGGUAAGGCAUUGUAUUUUAAGCCAAGAUCUGCUAUAAUUUAUGUAUUACUUUAAAUUUUAACUAGAGCUCAUUGGUGUGUUUUCAAAAUAAGGAAAUUUCACAGAAGUGUAGUGUUCUGGAGCCAAAGCAUGUCACAGAGACGUGUAUGUCUCUGACUACUACCCUGAUUCAGGGUGAGCUGAGCCAGCCUUAAUCUGCAGGGGUAAAUCCACCUACCCCACAUUUCUCUCAUUCCCUCUCCUGCUCUUAUAGAAGCAUCUGUGUGGUCUCCCGAUGAAUGGGGUCAGAGAACAGAUCUGGCUGAAAAUGAGUGAAUGUAUAAAAGCAGCUCCGUUUCAUCUGGUUGAGUUUCCCAGUCUUAAUUGUCCUGCACGCUGGGGCAGGACCAUUAGCACAGCUUGCAUUGGGUGACUGACCAUGGAACUAGGCUCAAGUUUUCACUAGGAGCACUGUUUAGAUCCAUGACAUUGUGGUCACAUGUGGACACCGUGAGAGAGGGAUGAUGACACAACUCUUUUUGAACCAAAAAUAACCUGCUUAAUAGCAUUUUUUCCCUCAAAGAUAUUCAGAAUUCUUUGUUGUAAGUUUGUGCUGCCAUCUCCCAUGGGAUAUGCUUAGGUUUCAAAGGAUGGUGAGGGUAAACCAUACCUGAUGUGCUUACGGUUGGUUUGGGAAGGAAGCAAUCAGCUUUGCUCAACAUUCCUGUAUGAGAAGCCUUUCAACUGUCAGCAUUUUCCUCACACAUUAGGACAUUCUCUCCUGAAACUCCUAAGGUUUCAGGAUCAGCAUCCUUCUGCCAUGACCCAAACCUUCCAUCUAGGCAGGCAGGUAGCUGAGGCUUUAACCACGUCACAAGGAUUUUGUAGGCCCCAUGAAGCUCCCUAAGACUUUCCACUGAGCUUCUGGUUGUGCUUUCGUCUUCUGCCCUUUCCUAGGGAGUCAAAGAAUGACUCCUUUAGUAACGAUGAGGCCAGGCCCAAGCUGGCUGUCUGCAGAGCUGGAAGGAGAAAACAGGGCAACUGGGAUCUAUCUUACCCAUUUUCUCAGCCCAGACUGACCUCUUGGACUUUGUGAUAGAGAGGCUAAGUGCUGCAUGGGGGUUCUGCCCUCCUAUCCUCACCCCACCUUCAUUUUUUCUAACUUUGCCCCCAACUGCUGCCAAUUCACUCUUUCCUGUGGAAGGGGUUUUAUUAUUUCUGCUUGUUUGAACAGGAUCUGGCUUCAUCUCUGAGAAAUUCAGCAGGGAGUGUAGCUAGCACAAAUGCCUGUAGGGCAGCGAAUAAGAAUAAGACUAGUGUUCAGAGGUACUGUGGUGCGAGACGUAUCUGACACGAGUUGUGCAAGGAAAACUAUUUGUAAAAUAAAGAUUCACAAACUCAAUU
ensembl:lncRNA